UGGGGGAUAUUGCACAAUGGGCGAAAGCCUGAUGCAGCAACGCCGCGUGAGGGAGGACGGUUUUCGGAUUGUAAACCUCUGUCUUCGGUGAAGAAACAAAUGACGGUAGCCAAGGAGGAAGCCACGGCUAACUACGUGCCAGCAGCCGCGUUAAUACGUCGGUGGCGAGCGUUGUCCGGCAUUACUGGGUGUAAAGGGAGCGCAGGCGGGGAAACAAGUCAGCUGUGAAAACUAUGGGCUUAACCCAUAAACUGCAGUGGAAACUGUUGUUCUUGAGUGGAGUAGAGGUAGGCGGAAUUCCGAGUGUAGCGGUGAAAUGCGUAGAUAUUCGGAGGAACACCAGUGGCGAAGGCGGCCUACUGGGCUCUAACUGACGCUGAGGCUCGAAAGUGUGGGGAGCAAACA
rnacentral:rRNA from 1 species